rnacentral:rRNA from 1 species
AUACGUAGGGGGCUAGCGUUGUCCGGAUUUACUGGGCGUAAAGGGUGAGUAGGCGGUUACAUAUGUCAGAUGUAAAAGGCUAAGGCUUAACCAUAGUAUGCAUUUGAAACUGUGUGACUUGAGUACAGGAGAGGAAAGUGGAAUUCCUAGUGUAGCGGUGAAAUGCGUAGAUAUUAGGAGGAACACCAGUAGCGAAGGCGCUUCUCUGGACCGUAACUGACGCUGAGGCUCGAAAGCGUGGGGAGC